UACGCGUGGGUCCAUUUGUA
rnacentral:siRNA from 1 species